GCUGACAAGUAAAAUCUAAACCUUUAAUCAGGGACCCUGCUGAGAUUCCUUGGGGUGAUUAUGGAGCUGAGUAUGUUGUUGAAUCCUCCGGUGUUUUCACAACAAUUGACAAAGCUUCAGCACAUAAGAAGGGUGGAGCCAAGAAAGUAGUUAUAUCAGCUCCAUUAGCUGAUGCUCCCAUGUUUGUGGUUGGAGUAAAUGAGUAGACAUACAAGCCAAACAUGGACAUUGUUUCAAAUGCAAGCUGUACUACCAACUGUCUUGCUCCUCUUGCUAAGGUGUGUGCGUGUGUGUGGAAACAGCAAGCUACAAGAAUAAGAAAUUUCUUUAAAAAGUAACAAAUGAGUUGUCAUUUUUUGAAAUGAU